CUUGUACUCCCUCCGUCCCAAAAUUCUUGUCUUAGAUUUGUCUAGAUACGGAUGUAUCUAAUACUAAAACGUGACUUGAUACAUCCGUAUUUAGACAAAUCUAAGACAAGAAUUUUGGGACGGAGGGAGUAAUAA
rnacentral:pre_miRNA from 1 species